UAUGUACUUCCUCCGUUCCAAAAUACUUGACUUCCAUUUUUCCAAAAAUGGAUGUACCUAUAUACUAAAACAUGUCUAGAUACAUAUAUAUUUUGACAAAUAGAAGGCAUGUAUUGUGCAACGGAGGGAGUAGAAU
rnacentral:pre_miRNA from 1 species